rnacentral:lncRNA from 1 species
GGAUAAUAAAAUUAAAACGACUCGAAGUCGGGGAUAAAAUAUAAAAUAGCGGUUUUAGAUAUUACAUACUUCAAAAACAUUGCUAAUUAGCAUAAACCUCGCUUAAUAAAAAUUGUUUUCUAAAAUAAGAAUACAAGUACAAGACUCGAUAAACCAUUUCCCGUGUCAUAAUCAGAGCGGAGUUUCACCGAUAACUCGACCACAAACUCAUAACCUGAGAAACC